rnacentral:rRNA from 1 species
CCAGACUCCUACGGGAGGCAGCAGUGAGGAAUAUUGGUCAAUGGGCGGGAGCCUGAACCAGCCAAGUCGCGUGAGGGACGACGGUCCUAUGGAUUGUAAACCUCUUUUGUCGGGGAACAAAGGCGCCCACGGGUGGGCGGAUGAGUGUACCCGAAGAAAAAGCAUCGGCUAACUCCGUGCCAGCAGCCGCGGUAAUACGGAGGAUGCGAGCGUUAUCCGGAUUUAUUGGGUUUAAAGGGUGCGCAGGCGGUCUGUUAAGUCAGCGGUCAAAGCCCGGGGCUCACCCCCGGUCCGCCGUUGAAACUGGCAGUCCCGAGUUGGAGAGAAGUAUGCGGAAUGCGCGGUGUAGCGGUGAAAUGCAUAGAUAUCACGCAGAACUCCGAUUGCGAAGGCAGCAUACCGGCGCCCAACUGACGCUGAAGCACGAAAGCGUGGGUAUCGAACAGGAUUAGAUACCCUAGUA